AUUCAUGAUAUAAAAUGAAUGAUAUUUUAAAUUGUUACAUGUUAUAAUUCUAGAUGUUUAAAUGCUGCGUGCCUUUUGAAUUGUUAUGGUUUCAACGCGCGUGCGAGUCGCAUUCAAAGUUGUCCGGUUCAAAGACAGGAGCGCACGCGAGCAGAUGGAAACCAUGGAAACGAGGAAACCUCUUCAACUGACAAACAGCAAAAAAUAGCGUCUCUCUGUUUUUCCACUGCUUUCAGUCUAGAAAAUCAUCAUGAUGUCCUGCUACAGCCCUGUCCCAAGACAACCUCCACGGCUAUGAACUCGACUAAUGAGAUAUCAUUUGACCCUGUGAUUCUUCAGGACCAGAUCUUGAUGCCAUCCACACCCAGUACAUGACAAAGAUGCUGUGACAAAAAGCAGUCAAGCCACUGCAUGUGAGGUGGAAGCCAAUAUGAAGACAUGGCUCCGUAAUCCCUGGGACAGAGAUGGGGGAAGGCAAGGAAGGGCCAGAACUACUGUUGCCCCUGAGGAUUGAUUUUUAAUUUUCAAUCCCCUGUUUUCUGUGAUUAUUGCUGUUUUAAACUGUAUUAUCAUUAAUUAUAAUUAUUAUUAAAUAUAAAUAAAUUAUUUGGGGAAAAAACAUGACCCUCGAUUUAUUGCUGCUAACAAGUCCAAUUGUACUGCAUAUAGUAAUAUGGGUGUACCUACUCUGUGUGCUCAAACUUUGCAACUGCACCCACAGUGUGCCCACAUCCAGCCUGCUAUAAUUUGUGUGGGCCAGCCCAAAGUCAGCCCACACUUUGGGCUGGCCCACGGUAAGUAGAGUGGGCCCCGAUUGGAGCCAGUUGUGGGCCCACAGCAAACCCUUAUAGGGGCCCAUUUGGGGCCAUUGCAGGCAGCCCACUGUGGGCCCACAACUGGCCCCAAUGGGGGCCCACUCUACUUACCGUGGGCCUGCCCAUAGUCAGCCCACACUUUUGGGCUGUCCCACUGGGGCCCCACCUGGGUCCCGAAGUGUGGGGCCCACACGUGCCCCGCAUUUCACGCCGGUAUCUGGGCCCACAGUGGGCUGCCCACAAUGGCCCCACAUGGGCCCCUAUAAGGGUUUGUCGUGGGCCCACAACUGGCCCCAAUGGGGUCCACUCUACUUACUGUGGGCCUGCCCACAGUCAGCCCACACUUUUGGGCUGUCCCACUGGGGCCCCACCUGGGUCCCGAAGUGUGGGGCCCACACGUGCCCCGCAUUUCACGCCGGUAUCUGGGCCCACAGUGG